CUUGAGCACGUAGGUGGGUUUGUAAGUCAGGUGUGAAAGCCUUCUGUUCAACGGGAGAAUUGCAUCUGAAACUACGAAUCUUGAGUGUAGGAGGGGAGAAUGGAACUUCUGGUGGAGCGGUGAAAUGCGUAGAUAUCAGAAGGAACGCCGGCGGCGAAAGCGAUUCUCUGGCCUAUUACUGACACUCAGUGUGCGAAAGCUAGGGGAGCAAACGGGAUUAGAUACCCCGGUAGUCCUAGCCGUAAACGAUGGGCACUAAGUAGUGGGAAUUACCGAUGUUCUCUCUGCCGUAGCUAACGCAUUAAGUGCCCCGCCUGGGGAGUACGGCCGCAAGGCUAAAACUCAAAAGAAUUGACGGGGGCUCGCACAAGCGGUGGAGCAUGUGGCUUAAUUCGAUGCAACGCGAAGAACCUUACCGGGGCUUGACAUGGUAGAAGUAGGAACCCGAAAGGGUAACGAACGGUAUCCAGUCCGUAGCUAUCACAGGUGUUGCAUGGCUGUCGUCAGCUCGUGUCGUGAGACGUUGGGUUAAGUCCCCUAACGAGCGAAACCCUUGUUUUUAGUUACCAGCGGGUUGUGCCGGGUACUCUAGAAAGACUGCCGUCGUCAAGACGGAGGAAGGUGGGGAUGACGUCAAGUCAUCAUGGCCCUUAUGCCCCGGGCUGCACACGCGCUACAAUGGUCGGUACAAACGGAAGCGAAGCCGAGAGGUGAAGCGAAUCCAAGC
rnacentral:rRNA from 1 species